GAGAGUUUGAUCCUGGCUCAGGACGAACGCUGGCGGCACGCUUAACACAUGCAAGUCGAACGAGAGAAGAGGAGCUUGCUUUUCUGAUCUAGUGGCGGACGGGUGAGUAACACGUGAGCAAUCUGCCUUUCAGAGGGGGAUACCGAUUGGAAACGAUCGUUAAUACCGCAUAACAUAAUUGAACCGCAUGAUUUGAUUAUCAAAGAUUUAUCGCUGAAAGAUGAGCUCGCGUCUGAUUAGCUAGUUGGUAAGGUAACGGCUUACCAAGGCGACGAUCAGUAGCCGGACUGAGAGGUUGAUCGGCCACAUUGGGACUGAGACACGGCCCAGACUCCUACGGGAGGCAGCAGUGGGGAAUAUUGCACAAUGGAGGAAACUCUGAUGCAGCGAUGCCGCGUGAGGGAAGAAGGUUUUAGGAUUGUAAACCUCUGUCUUCAGGGACGAAAAAAGACGGUACCUGAGGAGGAAGCUCCGACUAACUACGUGCCAGCAGCCGCGGUAAUACGUAGGGAGCGAGCGUUGUCCGGAAUUACUGGGUGUAAAGGGAGCGUAGGCGGGAUCGCAAGUCAGAUGUGAAAACUAUGGGCUUAACCCAUAAACUGCAUUUGAAACUGUGGUUCUUGAGUGAAGUAGAGGUAAGCGGAAUUCCUAGUGUAGCGGUGAAAUGCGUAGAUAUUAGGAGGAACAUCAGUGGCGAAGGCGGCUUACUGGGCUUUAACUGACGCUGGGGCUCGAAAGCGUGGGGAGCAAACAGGAUUAGAUACCCUGGUAGUCCACGCCGUAAACGAUGAUUACUAGGUGUGGGGGGACUGACCCCUUCCGUGCCGCAGCAAACGCAAUAAGUAAUCCACCUGGGGAGUACGACCGCAAGGUUGAAACUCAAAGGAAUUGACGGGGGCCCGCACAAGCAGUGGAGUAUGUGGAUUAAUUCGAAGCAACGCGAAGAACCUUACCAGGUCUUGACAUCGUAUGCAUAGCUCAGAGAUGAGUGAAAUCUCUUCGGAGACAUAUAGACAGGUGGUGCAUGGUUGUCGUCAGCUCGUGUCGUGAGAUGUUGGGUUAAGUCCCGCAACGAGCGCAACCCUUACUGUUAGUUGCUACGCAAGAGCACUCUAGCAGGACUGCCGUUGACAAAACGGAGGAAGGUGGGGAUGACGUCAAAUCAUCAUGCCCCUUAUGACCUGGGCCUCACACGUACUACAAUGGCUGUAAACAGAGGGAUGCAAAGCCGCGAGGUGGAGCGAACCCCUAAAAGCAGUCUUAGUUCGGAUUGUAGGCUGCAACCCGCCUACAUGAAGUCGGAAUUGCUAGUAAUCGCAGAUCAGCAUGCUGCGGUGAAUACGUUCCCGGGCCUUGUACACACCGCCCGUCACGCCAUGGGAGUCGGUAACACCCGAAGCCUGUAGUCUAACCGCAAGGAGGACGCAGUCGAAGGUGGGAUUGAUGACUGGGGUGAAGUCGUAACAAGGUAGCCG
rnacentral:rRNA from 1 species